UGGGGAAUAUUGCGCAAUGGGGGGAACCCUGACGCAGCCAUGCCGCGUGAAUGAAGAAGGCCUUAGGGUUGUAAAGUUCUUUCGGUAUUGAGGAAGGUUGAUGUGUUAAUAGCACAUCAAAUUGACGUUAAAUACAGAAGAAGCACCGGCCAACUCCGUGCCAGCAGCCGCGGUAAUACGGAGGGUGCGAGCGUUAAUCGGAAUAACUGGGCGUAAAGGGCACGCAGGCGGUUAUUUAAGUGAGGUGUGAAAGCCCCGGGCUUAACCUGGGAAUUGCAUUUCAGACUGGGUAACUAGAGUACUUUAGGGAGGGGUAGAAUUCCACGUGUAGCGGUGAAAUGCGUAGAGAUGUGGAGGAAUACCGAAGGCGAAGGCAGCCCCUUGGGAAUGUACUGACGCUCAUGUGCGAAAGCGUGGGGAGCAAACAGGAUUAGAUACCCUGGUAGUCCACGCUGUAAACGCUGUCGAUUUGGGGGUUGGGGUUUAACUCUGGCGCCCGUAGCUAACGUGAUAAAUCGACCGCCUGGGGAGUACGGCCGCAAGGUUA
rnacentral:rRNA from 1 species